UUUUCAAAAGCUUCGAAGAGAGAGGGAGUGUGUGUGUUAGUGUUGCGUUUUCUUCUUCCUCUCUUCUCCUUCUCUGCUUCUUCGUCCUCCUUCAAAUCUCACUCUUAUUCUUCUUCUUCGCUUUCUCUCUCUAUAAUUUUGCAACUUCCUUAUCUAUCUUCAGCUCCGUUUCCUCGUGCGCUGCGUUUGGAUCCACGCGCCUCUCAAUUUCGCUACACUCGGAGUAAUCAAUCACGAGCUACGCAAUCCGCGCACGUGUUCGAAUUCGAGCUGCGUUUCGAAGCUAUCGAAGCUUUGUUUCGUUUUAUAGCCGUAAUCCUAGGUCUUUUUCGGCGGAAUUCGGGAAUCGCUGUGAGAGUGUUCGGAUUUUUUUUUUGUGUUGCUUCGCGUGCCAUGGGGGAAGAAGAAGGAGGAGAUAUCGCUCCGAAGAAUGCGUUGUCGUCGGAAGUUGUUCCGCCGGCGGUAACGUCUACGGCGGCGCUGGAAGUUCCGGCGAAGAAGCUGGCGCGGCAGCUUGAUUUCACGGGCGCGCCGGAUCAUCCCCAGCAGCAGCCGGUGGCGGCGUUGCCGUUGCCGCCACAGGCGCCUCAUUCGAGGAUUGGGAAACCAGAAUCUCCAAAAUCUAGAUCAAGAUCUAACUUUGAAAUGAAAGAUGCUACACCCAAGAAGCAAAAGCAGUGCAAUUGUAAACACUCUAAAUGCUUAAAGCUGUAUUGUGAAUGUUUUGCAUCAGGAAUAUAUUGUGAUGGUUGCAACUGUGUAAAUUGUUUCAACAAUGUUGAAAACGAAGCUGCUAGAAGAGAAGCUGUUGAAGCUACCUUGGAGCGCAAUCCAAAUGCAUUUAGGCCCAAAAUUGCUAGUAGCCCUCAUGGAACACGUGAUAGCAGGGAGGAAGCCGGGGAAGUUUUAAUAUUAGGAAAACAUAACAAGGGGUGUCAUUGUAAAAAAUCUGGGUGCCUCAAGAAGUACUGUGAAUGCUUUCAAGCCAACAUUCUUUGUUCUGAAAAUUGUAAAUGCAUGGACUGCAAGAAUUUUGAGGGAAGUGAAGAAAGGCAGGCUUUGUUUCAUGGAGAUCAAAAUAACAUGGCAUAUAUUCAGCAAGCGGCAAAUGCUGCCAUAACUGGAGCUAUUGGUUCCUCUGGCUAUUCAUCACCUCCGGUAUCCAAGAAAAGAAAAGGUCAGGAACUCUUCUUUUGGCCUACAGCCAAGGAUCCAUCGAUUAGCAAGUUGGGACAACAGGUAAACCAUGUUAGAGGUCCAGCACCUUCCUCAUCUUUGUCACCUGUCUCAGGCGCUCGUGUUGGAACUGCAACAUUAGGUCCUUCAAAAUUUAUGUACAGGUCUCUUUUAGCAGACAUUAUUCAACCACAGCACCUCAAGGAGCUAUGCUCAGUUCUGGUGCUAGUAUCAGGACAAGCUGCAAUGACACUUUCAGACCAGAAAAUUUUAAUGGAAAAGCAUGCAGAAGAUCAGACAGAAACUUCCCUUGCUUCGUCAAGUCAAGAGCAAUUACCACCAAGUCAAAAGGAAGGUCAUGUUGAGAAGACUGUAGCUGAUGAUUGUUCGAGUGCAAACCAAACAGAUAAAAUCAGCCCAGAUGAUUCCAGUUCAGAUGGUGCUGAUGUCCCAAAAGGGAGGCCAAUGUCUCCAGGGACUUUAGCCUUGAUGUGUGAUGAGCAAGAUACAAUGUUCAUGACAGCCGCUUCCCCUAUUGGGCCAAUGGCUCAUGCUUGCAAUACAUCUUCACAAUUUCCUUAUGGACAAGGAAUGACAGAGGUCUAUGCUGAGCAAGAAAGGAUUGUAUUAACGAAGUUUAGGGAUUUUCUCAAUAGGGUUAUAACUAUGGGAGAAAUAAAUGAAACAAAGUGUUCUUCGUUGGCCAGAAAUGAAUUAGAGAAUCAAAAGGACCCAAUCAUCAAUGGCAUAGGAAAUGCCAACUCAGUGAUAGUGCGUCAGCAUGGAACCAGUAGCAAUGGUGUUACUAAACCUUCUGUUUCACCUUUGGCAACAACUUCGACACGUAUGAUCCCUGGCAAUAUUUCUGAAAAUGGGGAAUCUAAGGUCAAGAUCGAAAAAGAUAUAUGAAAAUAAUCUAACUUAGAAGGAUGCGCACACAUAUGAUUGAAAGAAGAAAUGAAAGUGUCUUUAAGGUAUGCUAGAACUUCUCUGUAAUAUAAUUAUAAACGCAUUGUCAUUCUUCAUUUUCUGCCUCAUCCGAAAGGUCUGCUAAGCAUACAGGCCCCACCAUUAGCUCAUGUAGGAUAAUUUUUUUUCUCUUAUCUAUUUUCUUGUCCUCCUUUGGUCAUUCAUAGAUAUCUAAAUUAAUUUUCAGCUUCAACAUUGCUUUAUCGCGAUGCUUGUAAAUUGCUGAGGGAUUUUUCAACGUCUCCCUUUUCCUCUACUUUGUCCAUUACUAUGUCCUCUGGAUUGACAGCAAUAUUUCAGGCUGAAUUAAGCUCUGUAAUAAUUGAAUAAGCUGAUGCUGACUUUGGCUUGGCCAUUGAGUGUUUAAAUAUUUUAUAUUUGUGCUGUA